rnacentral:rRNA from 1 species
UACGGAGGUGGCAAGCGUUGCUCGGAAUCACUGGGCGUAAAGGGCGCGUAGGCGGGGAGGUAAGUCGGGUGUGAAAUCCCUCGGCCCAACCGAGGAACUGCGCCCGAGACUGCUUCUCUUGAGUCCCGGAGAGGAAGAUGGAAUUCCCGGUGUAGCGGUGAAAUGUGUAGAGAUCGGGAGGAACACCGGUGGCGAAGGCGGUCUCUGGACGGUGACUGACGCUGAGGCGCGAAAGCGUGGGGAGCAAACGGG